rnacentral:lncRNA from 1 species
UGGGAGUUGCCUCGACUGUGAUAGCGGGCGGUGCGGCAUUCAUCAUGCCUACUCCGAGGCAUCGGUACACCUUGGUCGGUUUUUCUGACGACUUGGACUGGAGAGAGUUGAACUUCGUGGAACCGAUACCAUCGAGAAGAAUUUGCCAAGCAUGCGGGCUGGUAACAAGAGUGACCGCACUCCUACCUUGCCGACACAUCUUUUGCAAUACGUGCUACGAACAGUGCCGGAGUGAUGACGGCCAUUGCUGUCCUCUUGACGGUGAACCAGUCCUGGCAGAUGACGUCGAAUGGAUGGAGUUUCCUGUGCACAACCUGCUGAAACGGAAGGUGAAGUGCUGGAACGAAGACCGAGGCUGCGACAUUGUUUUGCCUGCAUCGGAACUCAACAGGCACUUUUGCAAAGAUUGUGACAACCACUCCACUUCCUGUCCGAGAUGUUCGAUGGUCGUACGCUGUCAUAAUGUGUGCACGCACUUGCACAGCGAGUGCAGAGAUCACGUGAUGUCUGUGGCGUCCGGGAAUCCGCAAACUAACAUCACUGGCGAAAAAGAAUUGAUGAUGGCUUUGAAUGCA